GGUAAUUAUGUAAGCUUAACGGUGUCUCCAAUGACAGUAAGAGAGCUAAGCCUAAGUAAAUGAGGUUCCAUAAAAAGAUAUAUUUGCAAAUAAAUAAAUUUAAAGAACAUAUAUAGUAUGUGGACUGAAAAGGAACCAGAAGCAACAUAGUGGGAGCUCAGUUACAGAUAUAUAAUUUUAAAUGUGUAAAACUCAACCCAACCUAAACCAAAAAAGGUUUUUGCUAUAACUAGAAGGCUAUCUAUGGGCUCAUAAUUUAAUAUUUGGAGUGAAAACUGGUGAGGUACAUAGUAUUAGAAGAGAUCAGAGAUGUUUCUAUGAACGAUACCUCAACUCUUUGGCGGACUUUCUCCAGAUAUUAUUUACUUCAAAAUUGUUUUUAGGUUUAUGAUUGUGGAAUAUAUAUUGAUUUAUUAUCAUAUAUCAAGAAUCAAAUGAAUGUUUAAGAAACCAAAAUUCUAGCAAUAAAAGAUCAAUGAACCCGAACUACACAUUCAGGAAUGUUAAAAUAAUCACAAUGAUCAUUUUUUUUUCCCCAUCAUAUCCCAGUGUUGUCACUGUUCUUUAAAGCUUUUAGGUUGCCCUCAGUAGUCCACAUUUCCUUUCUUAAUCACACAUUAUAAUCAUAGUGCAGCUUGGGUACAGGAAAAGCUAAAAUACUCAAAAAUCUAAGGCCAUUACGGAUAUAUCUACAAAACAAGCAACCCUUUCAAAUCCAUAAACCCGACAAAUCACACAAGCAAACCAUAGUAAAUAUG
rnacentral:lncRNA from 1 species